rnacentral:pre_miRNA from 1 species
UUUAUACUCCCUCCGUCCCAAAAUUCUUGUCUUAAAUUUUUCUAAAUACGGAUGUAUCUAGUUACAUUUUAGUGUUAGAUACAUCCGUAUCUAAACAAAUGUAAGACAAGAAUUUUGGGACGGAGGGAAUACUAC